rnacentral:rRNA from 1 species
CAGGAGGAUAGCCCGGGGAAACUCGGAUUAAUACUCCAUAAGAUUUUGAUUGGCAUCGAUUAAAAUUGAAAGAUUUAUUGGAUAAGGAUAGGCAUGCGUCAGAUUAGUUAGUUGGUAGUGUAACGGACUGCCAAGGCGAUGAUCUGUAGGGGGCCUGAGAGGGUGAACCCCCACACUGGUACUGAGACACGGACCAGACUCCUACGGGAAGCAGCAGUGAGGAAUAUUGGACAAUGGAGGGAACUCUGAUCCAGCCAUCCCGCGUGCAGGAAGACGGCCCUAUGGGUUGUAAACUGCUUUUGUAUGGGGAUAAAUCUACCUACGUGUAGGUAGUUGAAGGUACCAUACGAAUAAGCAUCGGCUAACUCCGUGCCAGCAGCCGCGGUAAUACGGAGGAUGCAAGCGUUAUCCGGAUUCAUUGGGUUUAAAGGGUCCGUAGGCGGGCUGAUAAGUCAGUGGUGAAAUUUUGUCGCUCAACGAUAAAACUGCCAUUGAUACUGUUAGUCUUGAGUGAUAUUGAAGUAGCUGGAAUGUGUAGUGUAGCGGUGAAAUGCAUAGAUAUUACACAGAACACCGAUUGCGAAGGCAGGUUACUAAGUAUUAACUGACGCUGAAGGACGAAAGCGUGGGGAGCGAACAGGAUUAGAUACCCUGGUAGU